GACUGAGGCUUAUAAUACAUGUUCUCACCAUUGAUGAUCAAUAAUUUUUCAAUUCUUUUUUAGGUUAUAACAAUUAUUUUUGUAAGUUGCAUACACACAGAAUACCUUUUGUAAAUGGUAGUACUUAUUCGUCAAGCUGGAACCAGCUGAUUCGUCCACUGCAGCUACCAACAUUACACAGGAAGAUGAAAUCCAAACAGCGAAGGAAGAGGAA
rnacentral:lncRNA from 1 species